GCUGUGGCUGAGAAACAAUAGAGAAACCAUCAUCCUAAAUGGAAUGAGUCAUGAGGAGGAAAGCAGCUUAGCUGGAGGGAGUAACUGGCCAGCAAUUGUCUUGGUGAGUAGACAGUUGUAAAGGUCUUUUGGGUUUUGUUUCGAUUUCUUUUUCUUUUUUUUUUACUCAGAUAUGUGGGAAGUCAAGGAGAGUUUUAGCAGAGAGCUGGCAUGGUUUGUUUUAAUUUUAAUGGAAUCAGUCUGCUACGUUUGAAAAUGGACUAUAGCAAGACAAGUGUAGAUGCUGGGAGACUUCUUUGAAAAUUAUUGCAAUAACUCGGGCAAGAGGAGAUGGUGGCCCUUGAAUAGGACCACAGUUAUCACCAGCAUUACCAAGCAUAAAAUUCCCAAAGUCACAGCAAUGGGACGCCAACGAGGGGAUGUAGCACAAAAUCCUGAGGCGCCAUAGGGAGCAGAAAUUGAAUAAAGAAAUUGGAUGAUGGAUCGCAGAGCACUUCAAUUCUACAAUUCAUCAAAAUCUGAUAUCCAGAUAAGCUACUCAUCUAGGGAGGUGGGGAUAAAAGGAUAAAUGAUACCUGUGAAGAAGCUCAUUGAGUAAAGGAGGAAACCCACAGAUAGGUUCAUGAAGGAUACCAUAAUGAGGUACAUUGUUGUAACAACAGAGAGAGGAAACAAAUCUCUUUGGGGCUUGUCAGAGAUUUACAAUACAAAGUAGAAAAUUA